rnacentral:rRNA from 1 species
UACGUAGGGUGCAAGCGUUGUCCGGAAUUAUUGGGCGUAAAGAGCUCGUAGGCGGUUUGUCGCGUCUGCUGUGAAAACUCGGGGCUUAACUCCGGGGCCUGCAGUGGGUACGGGCAGACUAGAGUGCGGUAGGGGAGACUGGAAUUCCUGGUGUAGCGGUGAAAUGCGCAGAUAUCAGGAGGAACACCGGUGGCGAAGGCGGGUCUCUGGGCCGUAACUGACGCUGAGGAGCGAAAGCGUGGGGAGCGAACAGG